rnacentral:rRNA from 1 species
CACGUAGGGGGCAAGCGUUGUCCGGAUUUAUUGGGCGUAAAGAGCUCGUAGGUGGCUGAGUAAGUCGGAUGUUAAAUCCCCAGGCUCAACCUGGGACACCACCCGAUACUGCUCUGGCUAGAGUCCGGUAGGGGAGCGUGGAAUUCCUGGUGUAGCGGUGAAAUGCGCAGAUAUCAGGAGGAACACCAGCGGCGAAGGCGGCUCACUGGUCCAUUACUGACGCUGAGGUGCGAAAGCGUGGGGAGCAAACAGG